GUCAACGCCAUAAACUAUGGAUACUAGAUGUUCGAGGAGUUAACCCCUUGAGUAUCAAAGCUAACGCAUUAAGUAUCCCGCCUGGGAAGUACGGCCGCAAGGCUAAAACUCAAAGGAAUUGACGGGGGCCCCGCACAAGAGGUGGAGUAUGUGGUUCAAUUCGAAGCAACGCGCAGAACCUUACCUGGGUUUGACAUCCCUUGAUCGCUAUAGAGAUAUAGUUUUCCCUUCGGGGACAAGGUGACAAGUGCUGCAUGGCUGUCGU
rnacentral:rRNA from 1 species